CAGAUCGCUUCUCGGCCUUUUGGCUAAGAUCACGUAUCUUGUCGGACGGUUGAGACUGCGAUCGCCUCUUGGAGGUUUCCUGACUCGAGAUCUUUUUAUAUCUUGAGUCACACAACUUCGAGAGGUACAUUGAACUCUGCUGCUUCGGGCUCCAACAAGUUUUAAGGUACAAGAAAAUGGAGGAGCUAUGGUCCGCAGGAGCCUCCAUAUGGAGCGGAUCAAAUUUUAACAAAAAUGAUGGAGUUGCGGUUUUAAUUAAUAAUCCUAACAUCUUGGUGAAGGGCAGCACUGUGCCCCCCUCGGCGGUUCCUGGUGAAACUGGAGAGGGCGGUGUUUUACUUCCUGUGGGGGUCCAAGUGGGAGCGCCUGAAGAGGGAGACAGUCAAGAAAAGGCCAGAGAACGGUGGAAAAGGCCUCCCAGACCCCCACCUGUUUUUAGGCAGCCGCUUCACCGCCCUGCACAUCAGUUAUGCCAUGACCUCAUCCAAAGAAAACAAGACGGCUGCAAUGGCGCGCUUUUGGAUGGGGUCUU